UGCAAAGGGAUCAUUUUGUUUUAUUUUUGCCUGAAUUAUUUUUCUCGUGAAUUGUUUGCCCCUGUAUCGAGAUUAUUUCCAUACUGGUGGCUGCAAUCAUUUCAGCGCAAAACGAAUCAGCUGCAGCGCAGAUUUCAAAACAAUAGGU